rnacentral:rRNA from 1 species
AUGUCUGAUAGGCUGGUGUCUAACAAUUUAGAUGAACUAAUAAACAAUGUGCAUCAUGAAUAUGAUGCCUAUGAUGCCGAUAAGAUAAACAGAAUUUUCCUAACACUACAAAGCUGCUUAAUUGAGGUCAUGAAGAGAGGUGGAGGCAACGACUACAAGAUCCCUCACAUGUACAAGGAUGGCCUAGAACGAGCAGGAAAUCUUCCUAAUGUUUUAGACUGCGAUUGCGGACUAUAUGAGAGCGUCACGCAGGCCUUAGCCGACUAG